GAUUGAACGCUGGCGGCAGGCCUAACACAUGCAAGUCGAACGGUAACAGARAGUAGCUUGCUACUUUGCUGACGAGUGGCGGACGGGUGAGUAAUGUCUGGGGAUCUGCCUGAUGGAGGGGGAUAACUACUGGAAACGGUAGCUAAUACCGCAUAAUGUCGCAAGACCAAAGCGGGGGACUUUCGGGCCUCGCACCAUCAGAUGAACCCAGAUGGGAUUAGCUAGUAGGUARGGUAAUGGCUUACCUAGGCGACGAUCCCUAGCUGGUCUGAGAGGAUGACCAGCCACACUGGAACUGAGACACGGUCCAGACUCCUACGGGAGGCAGCAGUGGGGAAUAUUGCACAAUGGGCGCAAGCCUGAUGCAGCCAUGCCGCGUGUAUGAAGAAGGCCUUMGGGUUGUAAAGUACUUUCAGUCAGGAGGAAGGGUGUGAAAUUAAUACUUUCAUGCAUUGACGUUACUGACAGAAGAAGCACCGGCUAACUCC
rnacentral:rRNA from 1 species